CGCGGUAAUUCCAGCUCCAAUAGCGUAUACUAAAGUGUUGCAGUUAAAAAGCUCGUAGUUGGAUUUCUGGCGGGGACGGCUGGUCGGUCUCGAAAGGGGCUGUACUGUUGUUGGUUCCCGUCAUCCUUGGGGAGAGCGGCUCUUACAUUAAGUUGUCGGCGUCGGGAUCCCUAUCUUUUACUGUGAAAAAAUUAGAGUGUUCAAAGCAGGCUUAGGCCCUGAAUACAUUAGCAUGGAAUAAUAAGAUACGACCUUGGUGGUCUAUUUUGUUGGUUUGCACGCCAAGGUAAUGAUUAAUAGGGAUAGUUGGGGGUAUUCUUAUUGUCUUGUCUGAGGUGAAAUUCUUGGAUUAAUGGAAGGCGAACUACUGCAAAAGCAUUUACCAAGGAUGUUUUCAUUAAUCAAGAACGAAAGUUAGGGGAUCGAAGAUGAUUAGAUACCAUCGUAGUCUUAACCAUAAACUAUGCCGACUAGGGAUCGGUGGGUGCAUUUUUAGGCCUCAUCGGCACCUUAUGAGAAAUCAAAGUCUUUGGGUUCCGGGGGGAGUAUGGUCGCAAGGCUGAAACUUAAAGAAAUUGACGG
rnacentral:rRNA from 1 species